AGUUGUUAUGCCCAGUCUACAAUGAGUCGUUGGUCGUUGGUCAUAAGAAAUUUAACCAAUCACAGUUGAUCUUAGAGAAGAAUAACCGAACAUAAUUGGGUUACACGACAUUAGUCCGAAAACUAGAUGGGGAAAAUGUUGGUACCAACAAAAUUCUCUAGACAUAUCAAUUUCAAUUUUUACAGAUUUAUGAUUGAAAUCUGGUUUUCCAUAUUAAAAUCAUUGUCAGCCGAGAAACAAAAUCUGUGCAAGAUAAAAUAGAAUCAUAAAGAAGGAAGAGAGAAAGAAAUAAAUGGAGAAUAAACAAAUAUAUAUCAGAUAAGUAGUUAAUAUCUUUAUAAGAAAUUAUGUAUUCUAUAUGUGCUUUUUGUAGAUGAACCGAUUCUUUUCUUGAAUUAAUUUUUUGUUUCAGCUUCUUUGCUAAUUGUAGAAUGUUGACAGCUGGACCAUCAGAGAACAAUUCCUUGCCGAGUAAAGCUGUCAAAUUCUAAACCUGCUACUUCCUCGAGUAUGCCAAAAUUGUAAGCAAAAAAGUUGAAAUCACAUUGUAACAUCAAAUAUUAUUUCGUAAGUAAACAUAUACUAUUUGGAGUAAAACAAAUUAUCGUUAAAGAAAUAUUUUGAUAUUAUUAUUUUUGUAGUUAAUAUGUGUGUGUGUGUGUGUGUGUGUGUGUGUGUGUGUGUGUGUGUGUGUGUGUGUUUGUGGGUAUAAUUCAUUUAAAAUAAUUAUUAGUUUAAUAAUUAAAGUUACAUUUUAGUUGUUAUAAGAAGGCUCGUGAUAUUACUUGGGUUGAAUUAGAUGAAGAGUAUCUUAGAUUUAAGAAGUGUUUUCUAGAGCAUACACACUUGACAUCUUUUUUACCGUUUUUAAAAAGAUAAUUUUGGUUUAUUUUACAUCAAAUAGUGUAUUCACUUAUGAAAUGAUCCUCGAUUGUUGGACAAGCAUCCAUCGCUACUUCUAAACCUAUUCUUGUAAAAGUCAAUGUGGGUAGCACAUUUUCUGUUUGCUGAAAGAUAAAAGGUGUAUACCGAUUAACAGACUAUAUAACAAAAUAACAGUAAACAAUGAGCAGGUCUAUCGAAAGCGUUCAUGACAGGUUGACGAUAAACACAAUAGUAUCCCAGAUAGCACAGAGAUUCAAAAAGAAUUCAUAAUUGGUAACAUAAUUGGUAACGUACAAUUGAGUCCUUUUUAAACUCUCCGUGCUAUCUGGGAUCUCUUCUAGUUUAAAUAAUGUCGGUACAUUGCUGGGACAAACAGCACAUAUGCUUUGUAGAACAAACAAUUUCGACAAACCUGCUCUCAGUUUGUUGUAUCAAUCUGUUACUGCACCGUUAAUAAAUCUAAUUGAUAUUACAAUAUAAUUUCAACUUUUUUGCUCACAAUUUUGACAUACUCGAAGAAGUAGCAGGCUUAGAAUUUGACAGCUUUAUUCGGCAAGAAAUUGUUCUCUGGUGGUCCAGCUGUCAACAUUCUACGAUUGGCUAAGAAGCUGAAACAAAAAA